rnacentral:tRNA from 1 species
UCUUCCGUAGUAUAGUGGUCAGUAUGUGAGCUUGUCACCUAAGCCGACAUCGCUCGAGACCCGGGUUCAAUUCCCGGCGGGAGAG